rnacentral:lncRNA from 1 species
GUCGGUGUGGCAGAGGACAGAACGCUCAGCACGUUGCCAAACCCGCAGCUUCGGCGCAUCGGCGCGGCGGGCUCCGCAUUUCUGCCGAUGUUUCCCCAUUCUUUGUCCUGACGUGGGGGUGGCAGGACAGCAUUUCUGAAGCCCGGUGGGUGCAACCAGGAACCGAGAUGGGGACAGACUUAGAGGUCCCACCUCGCAAUUUCCAGGUGUGGGAAAUGCUAAUUCAAGCUGUUGCUUGUACCAGGUGUGUCACUGCCUCUGAUGAAAGAGAUCCUCGGGUGCAUAUAAAGGGCCAUCCAGGUGCUGGGAUCACUACAACAGACCCAUCCUCUGCAAACCUCUUCGCAGACAAGGGUGAGUGGCAUUGCAGGGAUUCCUGCAGCAGAUAGGGGGAUGAGGGUGAAGUGAUUUUGUGUAUCGCUUCGUAUCACGCCUGUGUUGUUCCAGAGCUGCGUUUCCCCCUUUGGGGUGGUGGGUUAAUAUCACUUGAUGGCAUUUCUGUGCCACUGUUAGCAGGGAUGGAGAUGUUUCUGCUUUGGGGUGGCACCGCUGAGAGCAGCACAACCUGGAGGUGCCUGGCAGCAUGGUGUGGGGUGCUUGGCUUUGUCCCCUGAUGGCCCCAAACUCUGCCUGCAGGUAUCCCACCAUGUCCACGCACACCACCAUCCCACAAUCCAAGGACCAGCAAUUCCCAGGGAACUGCACUCUGGAAAAGGCCCUGGAAGCCAUCGUGAACAUCUUCCACCAGUACAGCAUCCGCGAGGGUCAGCUGGACCUCCUCAACUUCAAUGACUUCCAGACACUGCUGAAUGAGCAGGCACCCAACUUCCUGAAAGUCUGCGGCAGGAGCCGUCCUGGGUACCUGCAGAAGCUCUUUGAGGAGACGGAUCUGAAUAAGGACAAGGAGCUGACGUUUGAGGAGUUCACCAUCGUGCUGGCCAAGGUGACCGAUGACGCGCAUCGCAUCAUCCAUAAGGAUGACAGAUGUAAGCCAGACAGCAACUGAGCCACCCCACACCAUGGAGCCGGGCCCCAGGGAAGGACCUGGAGAGGUUUGCAUGUAGGAAUGGGGCUCUGGCUGCGUCCUGCCCACUUGGGUCACCCAUAAGAUAAUAAAGCAUUGCCUGAACCUCCCUGAGUCCUUCCU